UGGGGCCCGGAUCCAGCGGUUGGCGGUGGUGGCCUGGCUGGGCCGGGAGCCUCAAUUUGGUAAAAAAUCCAGGAAUUUGGGAAUUUUUUUUGGAAAUUUGGGAAUUUUCAGAAUUAUUUGGGAAUUUUUGGGUUUUUUUGGGGAAUUUUGGGAAUUUUUUUGUAGAUUUUUUUGUUUUUUUUGGUGGAUUUUGGAUGGGAUCUGGGCCCGGAUCCAGCGGCUUUUGUGGAAAAAAAGGGUGAAUUUUGCCCUAAACUCCCGAAAUUCUGUGUGAAAAAAAGGAUGAAUUUUUACCUAAAAUCCCGAAAUUUUGUGGAAAAAAAGAGGCGAAUUUUGGCCUAAAAUCCCGGAAUUUUGAGCUAAAAGCUUGGAAUUUUGGCCCAAAAUCCCAGAAUUUUGGGGGAAAAAAAGGAUGAAUUUUGGCCUAAAAUGUGUAAUAUUUGUGGGAAAAAACCGGUGAAUUCUGGCCUAAAAUCCUGGAAUUUUUAUGGAAAAAAAGGGUGAAUUUUGGCCUAAAAUCCGGAAUAUUUGUAGAAAAGAAGGGUGAAUUUUGGCCUAAAAUCCCGGAAUUUUGGGGGGAAAAAAAGGGGAAUUUUCGCCUAGAUUGUGUGAUUUUGUUCCGGGUAAUUUUUUGGGGGAUUUACCCGUUUUUUCCCCUUUUCCCGCAGGAAGAGGUCGGCCGCUGGGGGGCGCAGCAGGAGCGGGAGACGCUCCCGGCCCCAAUUCCAAACCCCCAAAAUUCCAUCCAAAAACCGGGAUUUUUGUGCUAAAAUCCCGGAUUUUUUUUGGGGAAAAAAAGGCUGAAUUUUUGCCUGAAAUCCCAGAAUUUUGAUCUAAAAGCUUGGAGUUUUGGCCUAAAAUCCUGGAAUGUUUGUGGAAAAAAAGGGUGAAUUUUGCCCUAAAAUCCUGGAAUUUUUGUGGAAAAAAAAGGGUGAAUUUUGGCGUAAAAUUCAGGAAAUUCUGCUGAAGAAAGCUGAAUUUUGGCCCAAAAUCCCGGAAUAUUUGGUGGAAAAAAAGGGUGAAUUUUGCCCUAAAAUCCCGGAAUUUUGGGGGGAAAAAGACUGUGAACUUUAUUUUAAAAUCCAGAAUUUUUGGGAAAAAAAGGGUGAAUUUUGGCCUAAAAUUCAGGAAUUUCUGCUGAAGAAAGCUGAAUUUUGGCCCAAAAUCCCAGAAUAUUCGUGGAAAAAAAGGGCGAACUUUGCCCUAAAAUCCUGGAAUUUUUGUGGAAAAAAAAGGGUGAAUUUUGGUGUAAAAUUCAGAAAUUUCUGCUGAAAAAAGGCUGAAUUUUGGUGUAAAAUCCCGGAAUAUUUGUGGAAAAAGUCGGAAUUUUUUCCUGUAAUGUGUGAAUUUUGGAGCCGGGUAAUUUUGGGGAGGGGGGAAUUCGGAGCCGGAUAAUUUUGGGUGGGGGUCUCACCCUUUUUUCCCUUUUCCCGCAGGAGGAGGUCGGCCGCUGGGGGGCGCAGCAGGAGCGGGAGACGCUCCCGGCCCCAAUUCCAAACCCCCAAAAUUCCAUCCAAAACCCGGGAUUUUUUUGGGGAAAAAAGGGGAAUUUUUUCCUGUAAUAUGGGAAUUUUGUUCCGGGUAAUUUUUGGGGGGAUUUACCCGUUUUUUCCCUUUCCCGCAGGAGGAGGUCGGCCGCUGGGGGGCGCAGCAGGAGUGGGAGACGCUCCCGGCCCCAGUUCCAAACCCCCAAAAUUCCAUCCAAAACCGGGAUUUUUGUGCUAAAAGCUCGAAAUUUUCACCUAAAAUGCGGGAGAAACAGAGGAAUUCUAAGCUAAAAAAAUCAGAAUUUUGGCCUAAAAUUCGGGAAUUUAUGGGGAAAAACCCGGAAUUUUGGCCUAAAAUCCCGGGUAUUUUUGGGAAAAUUGUCGCUUAAAAUGUGGGAAUUUUUGGGAAAAUACUCGGAAUUUUCGCCUAAAAUGUGGGAGAAACAGAGGAAUUCUAAGCUAAAAAAAUCAGAAUUUUGGCCUAAAAUCCCGGAACUUUUGUGGAAAAAAGGGUGAAUUUUGGCCUAAAAUUAGGGUGAAUUUUGGCCUAAAAGCUUGGAAUUUUUGCCCAAAAUCCCGGAAUUUUGGUGGGAAAAAAGGGCGAAUUUUGCCCUAAAAUCCCGGAAUUUUGAGCUAAAAUCCCGGAAUUUUUUUGUGAGAAAAGGGGAAUUUUCUCCUGGAAUAUGGGCAUUUUGGAGCCGGGUAAUUUUUGGGGGAUUUACCCGUUUUUUUCCCUUUUCCCGCAGGAGGAGGUCGGCCGCUGGGGGGCGCAGCAGGAGCGGGAGACGCUCCCGGCCCCAAUUCCAAACCCCCAAAAUUCCAUCCAAAAACCGGGAUUUUGGCCUAAAAUCCCGGAAUUUUUGUGGAAAAAAAAGAGGCGAAUUUUGCCCUAAGAUCUCGUAAUAUUUGAGGAAAAAAAGGGUGAAUUUUGUUCUAAAAUGCCGGAAUUUUGGUGGAAAAGAAGGCUGAAUUUUUGCCUAAAAUCACAGAAUUUUGAGCUAAAAGCUUGGCAUUUUGGUUUAAAAUUACAGAAUUUUUUUGGGAAAAACGGGUGAAUUUUGUUUUAAAAUCCCGGAAUUUUUGUGAAAAAAAAGGGUGAAUUUUGGCUUAAAAUGCUGGAAUUUUUGUGGAAAAAAAGGCUGAAUUUUGACCUAAAAUCCCGGAAUUUUGGCCUAAAAUCCCGGAAUUUUUGUGGAAAAAAAGGCUGAAUUUUGGCCUAAAAUCACGGAAUUUUGAGCUAAAAUCCCGGAAUUUUUUGGGGUAAAAAAGGGGAAUUUUCUCCCGGAAUUUGUGAUUGGGUUCCGGGUAAAUUUUGGGGGAUUUACCCGUUUUUUCCCCUUUUCCCGCAGGAAGAGGUCGGCCGCUGGGGGGCGCAGCAGGAGCGGGAGACGCUCCCGGCCCCAAUUCCAAACCCCCAAAAUUCCAUCCAAAACCCGGGAUUUUUGUGCUAAAAUCCCGGAAUUUUUUGGGGGAAAAUCUCGGAUUUUUUGCCUAGAUUGUGGGAAUUUGUUCCGGGUAAUUUUUGGGGGAUUUACCCGUUUUUUCCCCUUUUCCCGCAGGAGGAGGUCGGCCGCUGGGGGGCGCAGCAGGAGCGGGAGACGCUCCCGGCCCCAGUUCCAA